UGGGGAAUAUUGCACAAUGGGCGCAAGCCUGAUGCAGCCAUGCCGCGUGUGUGAAGAAGGCCUUCGGGUUGUAAAGCGCUUUCAGCGAGGAGGAAGGUGGUGAACUUAAUACGUUCAUCAAUUGACGUUACUCGCAGAAGAAGCACCGGCUAACUCCGUGCCAGCAGCCGCGGUAAUACGGAGGGCGCAAGCGUUAAUCGGAAUUACUGGGCGUAAAGCGCACGCAGGCGGUUUGUUAAGUCAGAUGUGAAAUCCCCGGGCUCAACCUGGGAACUGCAUUUGAAACUGGCAAGCUAGAGUCUCGUAGAGGGGGGUAGAAUUCCAGGUGUAGCGGUGAAAUGCGUAGAGAUCUGGAGGAAUACCGGUGGCGAAGGCGGCCCCCUGGACGAAGACUGACGCUCAGGUGCGAAAAGCGUGGGGAGCAAAACAGGAUUAGAUACCCUGGUAGUCCACGCUGUAAAACGAUGUCGAUUUUGGAGGUUGUGCCCUUGAGGCGUGGCUUCCGGAGCUAACGCGUUAAAUCGACCGCCU
rnacentral:rRNA from 1 species